AAAUAACUCUGUAAUUAAAGGUAUAGGGUAUGCAUUUUUGAUAGUGAUUUUGUUUAGACCUCUAUAGUCAAUGCACGGUCUUAAAUCACCCUCUUUCUUAGAUACGAAGAAAAACCCUGCUCCAGCCGGAGAAGAGGAUCUCCUAAUGAACCCUUUUUCUAGUGAUUCUUUAACAUACUCCUCCAUGAUACGGUUUUCUUGAAUAGACAAAGGGUACACCCUGCCCUCAGGAGGUAUAGUGCCAGGCAAUAAAUAGAUAGCACAAUCAUAGGAUCUGUGAGGCGGUAAUUUAUCAGCCUCCCUUUUAUCAAAUACAGUUUUGAGAAACAAGUACUGAGGAGGUAUAACAGUAGAUAAAGGAGGAGUAGUAGGAACAUUAAUGGUAUUUAAAGGGGUAACUUUACUCAUACAAGAGUUGUGGCAGGUUUUACCCCAUGAUUUUAAUUGCCCCAAUUCCCAGUCAAAAAUGGGAUUGUGAGAACAUAACCAUGGGUACCCUAACACGAUACGAGAAGAGGGAGAGGUGAUAACCUGAAACCGAAUGGUCUCAAGGUGUAAAACCCCUGUGUACAUGAAUAAUGGUACAGUUUCAUGGGUAACUACUGGAGUAUUUAAAGGUCUACCAUCUAUGGCCUCAAUGGCCAAGGGUAUCUGCCUCUCUCUGACGGGAGUGUUAUUUUUCGUAACAAACUCAGAGUCAAUGAAGUUCUCAGCCGCCCCGGAAUCAACCAAGGCUAGUAUGCUUUCAGCUAUACAACUCUCUCCCGUAUGAAGGGAAACAGGGAGAAGCAAACGGUUAGGAGGCAAUUUAGGAGACUUAGAUAUCACACCCAAGGCCAGUCCCCUAUAAGGUCUUAGGUGCGAGAGUUUUCCGGAAGCAAAGGGCAUUCCUUUA